rnacentral:rRNA from 1 species
CAGCCGCGGUAACACCGGCAGCUCUAGUGGUAGCUGUUUUAUUGGGCCUAAAGCGUUCGUAGCCGGUUUAAUAAGUCUCUGGUGAAAUCCUAUAGCUUAACUGUGGGAAUUGCUGGAGAUACUAUAGACUUGAGAUCGGGAGAGGUCAGAGGUACUCCUGGGGUAGGGGUGAAAUCCUGUAAUCCUAGGAGGACCACCUGUGGCGAAGGCGUCUGACUAGAACGAAUCUGACGGUGAGGAACGAAAGCUAGGGGCGCGAACCGGAUUAGAUACCCGGGUAGUCCUAGCCGUAAACUAUGCGGACUUGGUGUGAGGGUGGCUUUGAGCCGUCCUGGUGCCGAAGGGAAGCUGUUAAGUCCGCCGCCGUGGGAAGUACGGUCGCAAGACUGAACUUAAAGGAAUUGGCGGGGGAGCACCACAACGCGUGGAGCCUGCGGUUUAAUUGGAUUCAACGCCGGAGAUCUCACCAGCGGCGACAGCAGUAUGAUGACCAGGUUGAUGACCUUGUUUGACAAGCUGAGUGGUGGUGCAUGG